UACGGAGGAUGCGAGCGUUAUCCGGAUUUAUUGGGUUUAAAGGGUGCGUAGGCGGUCCGUUAAGUCAGCGGUAAAAUUGCGGGGCUCAACCCCGUCGAGCCGUUGAAACUGGCAGACUUGAGUUGGCGAGAAGUACGCGGAAUGCGCGGUGUAGCGGUGAAAUGCAUAGAUAUAACUUAGAACACCGAUAGCGAAGGCAGCUUACCAGACUGAGUCUGACGCUGAUGCACGAGAGCAUGGGUAGCGAACAGG
rnacentral:rRNA from 1 species